UACGGAGGGUGCGAGCGUUAUCCGGAUUCACUGGGUUUAAAGGGUGCGUAGGUGGGAAUGUAAGUCAGUGGUGAAAAUCUCUGAGCUUAACUCAGAAACUGCCAUUGAUACUAUGUUUCUUGAAUUUUCUGGAGGUCAGCGGAAUAUGUCAUGUAGCGGUGAAAUGCUUAGAUAUGACAUAGAACACCAAUUGCGAAGGCAGCUGGCUACAGGGAUAUUGACACUGAGGCACGAAAGCGUGGGGGAUCAAACAGG
rnacentral:rRNA from 1 species